rnacentral:lncRNA from 1 species
UGUGUGCAGCCUCUGUGUUUUCUGCUCCUCUUCAAGUGUCCACAUUUAAGCCAUUUCUCCUCUCUCCAUCUGCCCCCCACUCUUUUCCCUGAAAGAUGAUGAAUAGGCUCUGCUUAUGAGUACCGAAAUAUCAUUCAAGGCUGCACUUUACUGCAUCAAAGGCCAGUCAGGUAAUCCCCCCAAACUGGAAAUAUGAUGCUGUGGUGAUUUAUGUAGAUGGUCCAAAGUAAAGGAAA